GCGGAUAUGGUUGAAUGGUAAAAUGUCUCUUUGCCAAGGAGAAGUCGCGGGUUCGAUUCCCGCUAUCCGCC
rnacentral:tRNA from 1 species